CAACGCUGCAGCCAGCAGAGUCUUUCCCCCCAAACCACAGGCUGAAGGCACACGACUCAGCCUCCCUUGAUACCUGGGGGCAAUUCAAUGGCUCAUAAAGGACGUUUAAGCAAAAACACCAUGUACACAAGCAAAUAUACAUGGGUUUCCUGGGAUCAGUGUUGUCAUGGUGGCUCGUGUUGUUGACAAGGAC